rnacentral:rRNA from 1 species
UACGGGGGGGGCAAGCGUUGUUCGGAAUUACUGGGCGUAAAGGGCUCGUAGGCGGCCAACUAAGUCAGACGUGAAAUCCCCAGGCUCAACCUGGGAACUGCGUCUGAUACUGGAUGGCUUGAAUCCGGGAGAGGGAUGCAGAAUUCCAGGUGUAGCGGUGAAAUGCGUAGAUAUCAGGAGGAAUACCGAUGGCGAAGGCAGGUCUCUGGGCUGACACUGACGCUCAUGCACGAAAGCGUGGGGAGCAAACAGG